rnacentral:rRNA from 1 species
CCGGUUCUUCAUUGGUUAUCCCCAUUGUGGAAGGCGCCGCUGCCCCUUAAGAUCAAGAUUUUCGUCUGGCAGCUUCUGAUAGAUCGUGUACCAUCUGGGACCGAGGUGCUUAAACGCCAUGGUCCGGGCAAUGGUCUCUGCCCCCUUUGCCUCGUACCGAAGAUGGGGACCCACAUUAUGUUCUCAUGUGUUGCGGCUCAGGAUCUUUGGUGCUUUGUUUGUGAGGCUUUAGGACUGGAGUGGGAGGCCCGUGACCUGGCAGAGUUUCUGCGGGUUAGGGCCACUCAGGUUGGCCGCAAGCGCCGAUAG